GAGUUUGAUCCUGGYUCMKAACGAACGCUGGCGGCGUGCUUAACACAUGCAAGUCGAACGUGAUCCGGAGCUUGCUCCGGUGAAAGUGGCGCACGGGUGAGUAACGCGUGGAUAAUCUGCCCUGGUAUCUGGGAUAACAUCKCGAAAGGGGUGCUAAUACCGGAUAAGCCUACGGACUCUUCGGAGUCUGCAGGAAAAGGUGGCCUCUAUUUAUAAGCUACCGUAUCAGGAUGAGUCCGCGUACCAUUAGCUAGUUGGUGGGGUAAUGGCCCACCAAGGCWACSAUGGUUAGCUGGUCUGAGAGGAUGUUCAGCCACACUGGAACUGAGACACGGUCCAGCCUCCUACGGGAGGCAGCAGUGGGGAAUUUUGCGCAAUGGGGGAAACCCUGACGCAGCAACGCCGCGUGAGUGAUGAAGGCUUUCGGGUCGUAAAGCUCUGUCAGAGGGGAAGAAAUGAGACUGGCUAAUAUCCAGUUUUCUUGACGGUACCCUCAAAGGAAGCACCGGCUAACUCCGUGCCAGCAGCCGCGGUAAUAC
rnacentral:rRNA from 1 species